rnacentral:rRNA from 1 species
CAGUCACAGUUCGGAUUGAAGGCUGAAAUUCGCCUUCAUGAAGCCGGAAUUGCUAGUAAUGGCAGGUCAGCAUACUGCCGUGAAUACGUUCCCGGGCCUUGUACACACCGCCCGUCACACCAUGAGAGUUGGGGAUACCCGAAGCCUGUGAGCCAACUGUAAAGAGGCAGCAGUCGAAGGUAGAAUCAAUGAUUGGGGUGAAGUCGUAACAAGGUACC